rnacentral:tRNA from 1 species
GCCGGUGUAGCUCAGCGGUAGAGCAACGGUUUUGUAAACCGUAGGUCGCCGGUUCGAGACCGGCCACCGGCU